GAAUGUGAUGGUUAUCUGGCUCAUUGAUUAUAGGAUUGAUUAUACUGGCUGAGUCAAUGCCUCCUUUCUUCCUUGUUCUAGGUAUAUCUCCAGACUCUAUUGGUUGAACAGGAUGACUUUCCCUGUAUAGAGUUGGAUAUUCAUCAGUUAAUGGUAUACGCAUAGCUGUGUUAACCUGCUAGAACUUCCAAAUAAACCCUCAUAACUGGUUUUAGAGUACCUUUGUAUUUAUCAGAAUCUUAUAGAAAA
rnacentral:snRNA from 1 species